rnacentral:SRP_RNA from 19 species
CAAAAGGCAAGGGUGGAUUUACGAAUCGUGUCAGGUCCGGAAGGAAGCAGCACUAAGUUUGCUUCAUCUUGUGCCUUUUGUUUU